rnacentral:rRNA from 1 species
ACGGAGGGUGCAAGCGUUGUCCGGAUUUAUUGGGUUUAAAGGGCGCGUAGGCGGCCUGUUAAGUCGAACGUGAAAUCCCCGGGCUCAACCCGGGAACUGCGUCCGAUACUGGCAGGCUUGAAUCCGGGAGAGGGAUGCGGAAUUCCAGGUGUAGCGGUGAAAUGCGUAGAUAUCUGGAGGAACACCGGUGGCGAAGGCGGCAUCCUGGACCGGCAUUGACGCUGAGGCGCGAAAGCCAGGGGAGCAAACGGGA